rnacentral:rRNA from 1 species
GCUACAGGCUUAACACAUGCAAGUCGAGGGGCAGCACAAGGCAGCAAUGCUGAGGUGGCGACCGGCGCACGGGUGCGUAACGCGUAUCCAACCUUCCCGUUACUCAUGGAUAGCCUUCCGAAAGGGAGAUUAAUACAUGAUGGUGUUGAAAUUCCGCAUGUUAUUUCAACUAAAGAUUUAUCGGUAACGGAUGGGGAUGCGUGACAUUAGAUAGUAGGCGGGGUAACGGCCCACCUAGUCUACGAUGUCUAGGGGUUCUGAGAGGAAGGUCCCCCACACUGGAACUGAGACACGGUCCAGACUCCUACGGGAGGCAGCAGUGAGGAAUAUUGGUCAAUGGGCGGAAGCCUGAACCAGCCAAGUAGCGUGAAGGAUUACAGCCCUACGGGUUUUAAACUUCUUUUAUAUGAGAGUAAUGUGCACUACGUGUAGUGUAUUGCAAGUAUCAUAUGAAUAAGCAUCGGCUAACUCCGUGCCAGCAGCCGCGGUAAUACGGAGGAUGCGAGCGUUAUCCGGAUUUAUUGGGUUUAAAGGGAGCGUAGGCGGGAUAUUAAGUCAGUCGUCAAAGCCUGUGGCUCAACCACAGCCCGCGAUUGAUACUGGUAACCUUGAGUGCGGAUGAGGUGGAUGGAAUUCGUGGUGUAGCGGUGAAAUGCUUAGAUAUCACG